rnacentral:lncRNA from 1 species
UGUAUAUAUUUUAUGUUUGUCACAGAUCAUGUUUUUGAUUUAUAUGGCAGUAAAAGUAUUUGAUUUGAUUUGAUUUGAUUUUGAUAUUUUAGGAGCGGAAAAUCUAAUAAACAUUGAAUUAAUUUCAACAGAGACAUUAUAUACCUCUGAUUCCAACUACAAUACAAUAGUUUCAGAGGUGUAUCCAUUCGUGUGUGUGUGUGUGUGUGUGUGUGUAAACAUUGGGGGUUCAUAUGUAUGUAAACAGUUAAUGGAUAAGAUCAUAAGAGCCAUUAACGACUUUUAAAUGACAGCUCGACAUACCCUCUCUAGGGACGACAUCAAUAGUCCAAUGUAGGAUACAAAAAUCACAGUUUUUCACUGACACCCCCCGCCUUUUCUUAAUUUGGGAAAUUUAUUGACCAACAAGGGCAUAUGCUAGUAUCAGAAAAUACUUUUUGUGUCAUGGGUCCAUGGGUCCUGUUUUCCCC